rnacentral:rRNA from 1 species
UAGGGAAUCUUCCACAAUGGGCGAAAGCCUGAUGGAGCAACGCCGCGUGAGUGAAGAAGGUUUUCGGAUCGUAAAACUCUGUUGUAAGGGAAGAACAAGUACAGUAGUAACUGGCUGUACCUUGACGGUACCUUAUUAGAAAGCCACGGCUAACUACGUGCCAGCAGCCGCGGUAAUACGUAGGUGGCAAGCGUUGUCCGGAAUUAUUGGGCGUAAAGCGCGCGCAGGCGGUCCUUUAAGUCUGAUGUGAAAUCUUGUGGCUUAACCACAAGCUGCAUUGGAAACUGGGGGACUUGAGUGCAGAAGAGGAGAGUGGAAUUCCAAGUGUAGCGGUGAAAUGCGUAGAUAUCUGAAGGAACACCAGUGGCGAAGGCGGCUUUCUGGCCUAUUCUUGACGCUGAGGCGCGAAAGCUAGGGGAGCGAACGGGAUUAGAUACCCCGGUAGUCCUAGCCGUAAACGAUGAACACUAGAUGUUGGUGGUAUCAACCCCGCCAGUGUCGUAG